GGUGACUACAGAGGGUAUGAACAUCCCCCCCUGGAUAUUUCAGUCUGCUUCUCAGGGAACAGAGGCAACUUCAGAAAAAGAAACCAAGAGCUUGGUUGAAAGCAAGCCCUUACCGUGAGUGGGAACCAGUCAUAGAAACUGCAGGUGAACUGUAAGGAAAACGUGGGAGCUUCCAAAUCACCUUCUCCUCUUGUCCUCUGACCCAGGGAAGCCAACACUCUUCACAGAAAGGUACCCUUUCUUCUGUGAACAGGACAUCAAUUUCUGUUAACAUGACACAACCGAAUAGCACAAAUGGGUUGAGCAUCUGACUUCAGCUCAGGUCACGAUCUCUCCGUUCCUGAGUUCCAGCCCUGCUUUGAACUCACUGCUGCUGUCAGUCCAGGGCCAACUUCGGAUCCUCUGUCUCCCUCUCUCUCUGUUCCUUCCCCACUCUCAAAAAUAAAUAAACCUUUAAAAAAUUA